GACUACGGUCGCAAGACUAAAACUCAAAGGAAUUGACGGGGGCCCGCACAAGCGGUGGAGCAUGUGGUUUAAUUCGAGGCAACGCGAAGAACCUUACCAGCUUUUGACAUCCCGGUCGCGGUUACCAGAGAUGGUUUCCUUCAGUUCGGCUGGACCGGUGACAGGUGCUGCAUGGUUGUCGUCAGCUCGUGUCGUGAGAUGUUGGGUUAAGUCCCGCAACGAGCGCAACCCUCGCCUUUAGUUGCCAGCAUUAAGUUGGGCACUCUAGAGGGACUGCCGGUGAUAAGCCGGAGGAAGGUGGGGAUGACGUCAAAUCAUCAUGGCCCUUACGGGCUGGGCUACACACGUGCUACAAUGGCGGUGACAGUGAGCAGCCACUCAGCAAUGGGGAGCUAAUCUCUAAAAGCCGUCUCAGUUCGGAUUGUUCUCUGCAACUCGAGAGCAUGAAGUUGGAAUCGCUAGUAAUCGUGGAUCAGCAUGCCACGGUGAAUACGUUCCCGGGCCUUGUACACACCGCCCGUCACACCAUGGGAGUUGGUUUUACCCGAAGACUGUGUGCUAACUUAGGAGGCAGCAGGCCACGGUAAGGUCAGCGACUGGGGUGAAGUCGUAACAAGGUA
rnacentral:rRNA from 1 species